UCCUCUUCGGAGGACAAAGUGACAGGUGGUGCAUGGUUGUCGUCAGCUCGUGUCGUGAGAUGUUGGGUUAAGUCCCGCAACGAGCGCAACCCUUGAACUUAGUUGCCAUCAUUUAGUUGGGCACUCUAAGUUGACUGCCGGUGACAAACCGGAGGAAGGUGGGGAUGACGUCAAAUCAUCAUGCCCCUUAUGAUUUGGGCUACACACGUGCUACAAUGGACAAUACAAAGGGCAGCGAAACCGCGAGGUCAAGCAAAUCCCAUAAAGUUGUUCUCAGUUCGGAUUGUAGUCUGCAACUCGACUACAUGAAGCUGGAAUCGCUAGUAAUCGUAGAUCAGCAUGCUACGGUGAAUACGUUCCCGGGUC
rnacentral:rRNA from 1 species